UAGCGGAACUCCUACGGGAGGCAGCAGUGGGGAAUAUUGGGCGAUGGGGGGAACCCUGACCCAGCAACGCCGCGUGGAGGAAGAAGGUUUUCGGAUCGUAAACUCCUGUCCUUGGAGACGAGUAGAAGACGGUAUCCAAGGAGGAAGCCCCGGCUAACUACGUGCCAGCAGCCGCGGCAAUACGUAGGGGGCAAGCGUUGUCCGGAAUAAUUGGGCGUAUAGGGCGCGUAGGCGGCUCGGUAAGUCUGGAGUGAAAGUCCUGCUUUUAAGGUGGGAAUUGCUUUGGAUACUGUCGGGCUUGAGUGCAGGAGAGGUUAGUGGAAUUCCCAGUGUAGCGGUGAAAUGCGUAGAGAUUGGGAGGAACACCAGUGGCGAAGGCGACUAACUGGACUGUAACUGACGCUGAGGCGCGAAAGUGUGGGGAGCAAACAGGAUUAGAAACCCCAGUAGUCCACUUAUG
rnacentral:rRNA from 1 species